UUGCCAUGAUGGUUUGAACCAGCACA
rnacentral:piRNA from 1 species